AUUGAACGCUGGCGGCAUGCCUUACACAUGCAAGUCGAACGGCAGCACGGGUGUUGGUACUGGGUGGCGAGGGGCGCACGGGAGUGAUGUAUAGGGGUCUACGUGGUGGAGGGGGGUAAAGUCCGGCGAAAGGCGCUUUAAUAGCGCAUACGCUGAGCGAGAGAAAGCGGGGGACUCGCACGCCUCGCUCUAUGGUGAGGGUCGAUGGCUGAUUAGCUAGUUGGUGGGGUAAAGGCCCACCAAGGCGACGAUCAGUAGCUGGUCUGAGAGGACGACCAGCCACACUGGAACUGAGACACGGCCCAGACUCCUACGGGAGGCAGCAGUGGGGAAUAUUGGACAAUGGGCGAAAGCCUGAUCCAGCCAUGCCGCGUGUGUGAAGAAGGCCUUCGGAUUGUAAAGCACUUUUGGCCGGAAGGAAGUCCAUGAACCUAAUACGGUCCUGGGUUGACGUUACCGGCAGAAUAAGCACCGGCUAACUUCGUG
rnacentral:rRNA from 1 species